CCUACGGGAGGCAGCCGUGGGGAAUAUUGGGCAAUGGGCGCAAGCCUGACCCAGCAACGCCGCGUGAAGGAAGAAGGCUUUCGGGUUGUAAACUUCUUUUCUCAGGGACGAAGCAAGUGACGGUACCUGAGGAAUAAGCCACGGCUAACUCCGUGCCAUCAGCCGCGGUAAUACGUAGGUGGCAAGCGUUAUCCGGAUUUACUGGGUGUAAAGGGCGUGUAGGCGGGACUGCAAGUCAGAUGUGAAAAGCACGGGCUCAACCUGUGGCCUGCAUUUGAAACGGGAGUUCUUGAGUACUGGAGAGGCAGACGGAAUGCCUAGUGUAGCGGUGAAAUGCGUAGAUAGUAGGAGGAACACCAGUGGCGAAGGCGGUCUGCUGGACAGCAACUGACGCUGAGGCGCGAAAGCGUGGGGAGCAAACAGGAUUAGAUACCCUUGUAGUC
rnacentral:rRNA from 1 species